AUUGAACGCUGGCGGCAGGCUUAACACAUGCAAGUCGAACGAGUGGCGGACGGGUGAGUAAUGCUUGGGAAACUGCCUGAUGGAGGGGGAUAACUACUGGAAACGGUAGCUAAUACCGCAUACCAUCAGAUGUGCCCAGAUGGGAUUAGCUAGUAGGUGGGGUAACGGCUCACCUAGGCGACGCUCCCUAGCUGGUCUGAGAGGAUGACCAGCCAAACUGGAACUGGGAAACGGUCCAGACUCCUACGGGAGGCAGCAGUGGGUAAUAUUGCACAAUGGGCGCAAGCCUGAUGCAGCCAUGCCGCGUGUGUGAAGAAGGCCUUCGGGUUGUAAAGCACUUUCAGCGGGGAGGCGUUACCCGCAGAAGAAGCACCGGCUAACUCCGUGCCAGCAGCCGCGGUAAUUC
rnacentral:rRNA from 1 species